CCCGAAAGACCCGGGAUAACAGCUCGAAAGGGCUGCUAAUACCGGGAUACCGACACGAAGCCGCAUGGUUUUGUGUUGAAAGGUUAAUUCCGCUUUCGGAUGAGCCCGCGUCCCAUUAGCUAGUUGGUGAGGUAACGGCUCACCAAGGCGACGAUGGGUAGCUGGUCUGAGAGGACGAUCAGCCACACUGGAACUGAGACACGGUCCAGACUCCUACGGGAGGCAGCAGUGGGGAAUCUUGCGCAAUGGGCGAAAGCCUGACGCAGCAACGCCGUGUGAACGAUGAAGGCCUUCGGGUCGUAAAGUUCUGUCAGGGGGGACGAAAUUUGACGGUACCCCCAGAGGAAGCCCCGGCUAACUACGUGCCAGCAGCCGCGGUAACACGUAGGGGGCGAGCGUUGUCCGGAAUUACUGGGCGUAAAGGGCGUGUAGGCGGCCGAUCAAGUCAGGUGUGAAAAUCCAGGGCUCAACCCUGGACGUGCACUUGAAACUGGUUGGCUUGAGUGCAGGAGAGGAAAGUGGAAUUCCCAGUGUAGCGGUGAAAUGCGUAGAUAUUGGGAGGAACACCAGUGGCGAAGGCGACUUUCUGGCCUGUAACUGACGCUGAGGCGCGAAAGCUAGGGGAGCAAACAGGAUUAGAUACCCUGGUAGUCCUAGCCGUAAACGAUGGGUACUAGGUGUAGGGAGCUUGAAAGCUUUCUGUGCCGUAGUAAACACAUUAAGUACCCCGCCUGGGGAGUACGGCCGCAAGGCUGAAACUCAAAGGAAUUGACGG
rnacentral:rRNA from 1 species